rnacentral:rRNA from 1 species
UAGAGUUUGGAUCCUGGCUCAGAUUGAACGCUGGCGGCAGGCCUAACACAUGCAAGUCGAGCGGUAACAGGAGAAAGCUUGCUUUCUUGCUGACGAGCGGCGGACGGGUGAGUAAUGUAUGGGGAUCUGCCCGAUAGAGGGGGAUAACUACUGGAAACGGUGGCUAAUACCGCAUAAUGUCUACGGACCAAAGCAGGGGCUCUUCGGACCUUGCACUAUCGGAUGAACCCAUAUGGGAUUAGCUAGUAGGUGGGGUAAAGGCUCACCUAGGCGACGAUCUCUAGCUGGUCUGAGAGGAUGAUCAGCCACACUGGGACUGAGACACGGCCCAGACUCCUACGGGAGGCAGCAGUGGGGAAUAUUGCACAAUGGGCGCAAGCCUGAUGCAGCCAUGCCGCGUGUAUGAAGAAGGCCUUAGGGUUGUAAAGUACUUUCAGCGGGGAGGAAGGUG